CACCACAUAACCCUUAUCUCUUCCUCUUAGCCCCCAAAUCUAUUUUUCUCUCCACCUUGUUCUUGCUCUCCACCUUGUUUCUUCUUCCUCCACCAUUAUUUUCCUCCUCUAAAAAAUCAAUGUAUCCACUCCAUCAUUCACUCAAAGGAUCAAUGGUGUUAGAAAAUGUUAUGGAAGACGAAUGUGUCAAACGUUAUACAUUUGUUUGGUUGGAGGCUUAUGCUUAAGAAGUUACCUACAAGAUUUGAAUUGCAAAGAAGGGGUUCAUUUAGGGCAACUGUAACUUGGUAUUUCCUUGAAAGCCCUUGAUGGUUAAUUCCAAGGCAUGAGAUAAGGAUUUUACCCGAAAACAGCCGUUACUCUGCCCGAUUUUCGUCAGAAUCUUAAUGUGCUUAAUGAAAAGUGGUGCUAAGACAAUAAGUUCAUCUGGAUCCCCAAGUGUUAAUGUGUUGGUAUUGAUAAAUCCAAAGGAUGGGAAAACUACAUUGACUCUUAAUGUCAAGUGUUGGCUUCUUAUUUGGUUAGACCGUUUCUUUCCUUAGCUUUUAUUUUAUGCACUAGGUUAGCCUCUUCAUCUCCUCCCACUUCUUAGAUUUUCAAAAUCUUCUCCCUUUUUCCAAAAUAUUCUUAUGUUUGCAAUCUUUUCAAAACUUUUUCUUUAAAAAUAUCUUUCGCCCUUAGUGGAUUUUCUUCAAAAGUUUAGACACCGUUAAUCGUCGAAACGAGUGGUUAUACCCCACGAUUUUGAAAUUGAUUGAUAUAAUGAGAUCUUUUCCGUGUGAGAGAGCUAGUGGCAUACUCGUCGAUUUUAUCCGAGUUGGAGCCCUUCUUUCCUUUGCGAUGCAAAGAACUCGUUUGUUCUCAUGCUCAAGAUCAAUGGCUGAGUAUUUCUCUCUGACGACGAUAAAGUGUUUAUUCGUUUUUAAAAAUGUUUUCCCAAAAAAGCGGAACUACAUUAGCUCUGACUUCUCCAUUGCACCGAGAAGGUAUGUAGGCCCAAAGCUAAACGCUUUGCCGAGCUUAUUUUAAAAAUAAAACAAACUCUUUUUUUAGCACACACACACAGAUUUUCAAAAAGGUUCCCGUGGAGUACCACGGAUAUGAGGGGUGCUUUAAACCUUCCCCUCAUAUAAUCAACACCCGUACCUGAGAUCUCUUUCUUGUUUUAAAAAAACAAAACUUUGGGUUUUACGUUCUUUUCCCUUUUCCUUUGAAAAAAUAAAGCGCGGUGGCGAUUUCAAACGGAAUAUUGAUUCGAGUCAAUUUCAUGGCUUCGAUAUCAGAUUUUCCCCGCUACAGAAAAAUGGCGACUUCACUGGGGAUCCAGUUUUAAGUGUGUUAAGCCUAUUUUUGUUUAUCUGUGUGUUUUUUAUUUGUAUAUAUUGUUGUGUGCUUUGUUUUUUUGUUUAUUUUCUUUUUUCUUUUUGGUGCUCGAUGGUUCCUCUGUGAUGAGAUAAAGUUCUAACCCGGACUUUGGUGAGUAACUUGAGAUAGGAGGUGGUAAGACCAAUAGUCGCAUGUCAGGCGCAAUCCUUACCAUGAGCGUCAUAUGGUGGAACCCCAAUCAGUGGAGGCCUCAUGGAAGGUAGUAGAGGUUGUUACGAACCAUCGUGAUAACGCUAUUACUUUCAAUAGUGAGUGUCCGUAGAAGCUGAAUGGCCUAGAACCUUUUAACCCAUCUAAGCCUUUUUAGGAUGUAGUGCAGAAACAAGAUCAAGUACCAAUUUGAGCUUGUUGUCAUGCGAUACUACGCUCAGACGAGGUCUUUUUAGGCAUAUUAUUGGCGCCCAUGAGCAAUUGUGCGUGCCGGUAAUAUCCGAUAGAAGAUUGAAAACUCUAGGAACCUUUGUAGAACCCGAUCGGCAGGUACAAAAUUCCUUAGAUCAUACCUUGUGGGAUGGUUAGACCCAUGGCUCCAUGCUCGUGACGUCGAACCUUUGAACUAUGAUCUUAUGUGACCUUGCGUGCUAUUGGUUGUGGUUGAUGCAUAAAUCAUGCAUUCAUGCAUCCAUGAAAACUCUUUUUCUUUUGAUUUUCAAGGAACUUAGACGUCUUUCCUUGUAAACAUCAUAAGUUUCAUCAAACUCAAUGGAUCUUGGGUGUUGAUGGGGUGAAAACUCUAAUCCACCAAAAUGGAUGAUUGAUUUUGAUGAUAACUUACUCAAAGCUUUAGCCCAAUGUUUGAGUGUUUACAAGUUAAUAUCUUAAGUUCCUUGAAACUCAAAAAUUAAAAUAAAAUAAAAAAACAAAUUACUGCAUUGCAUGCAUCAUUCUGCAUUUGUUUCUGCUUUCUAAAGAAGUUUUCCAGAGCCUUAUUUCCUUUCUCCUGGUAUCAUCAGUACAACACUCUUACUAAGAAGAAAUGGAAAGUAUCAAACAAGAGAUUCUCGAGCUCCGUGAAGAGGUGGUUACUCUGAAGGCUGGUAUGAAGCAUCUGACUACUCUGGUUGAGGCUCUAGUUACUGCCCAAAUCAAUCCUUCUAUGAAGGAAGAAAGGAUGGCAAAGGUCUUUCUUGAAACUCUGAACUCAUCCUUUCCUAAGGGGAUAGUAGUCCAUACACCUACUGACUUCCACAGAGAGGUGGAUAUGAAAGCGCUUCUAGAAAAGGAUGUCCGAAAGGAAUGUUUGUUUGAAGAAGGUAACUCAACUGGUAGUGUGAAGAAGUUUGGUAAUGACUUUUCAAAGAAGAGAAUCAGGGGAGGAAACAAUUAUCACCAACAUCAGCAUGUUUCCUAUGUCAUUCCUGUAUCCAAUUCAGUUCAUACAAUCCCAGAUUAUCAGCAGAGUACUCGUCAACAAGAUUCUCCACCGAACGAGCAAAAUCAACUUCAAAAGGGGAAUUUUGAUCCUAUCCCCAUGACUUACGCAGAAUUGUUCCCUACUCUAGUUCAUAAGAAUUUGGUUCAGACAAGGUCACCACCUCCAAUUCCCGAGAAGAUUCCUUGGUGGUACAAUGCUAAUGUCACUUGUGCUUUUCAUCAGAAUGCUCCUGGACAUGACUUAGAUAAUUGUUGGCCUCUAAAAAAUGAAGUUCAAAGAUUAAUCCAUGCUGGUAUUUUGACUUUCCAAGAUGUUGGUUAUGAUGUUCAAGCCAAUUCUUUGCCAAAGCAUGAUUGAAUCACUAUUGAUGGUAGCCUGAAGCUCGAAAGAUGUUUCGUUCAGCAUAUGCCCAGAUGGAGAGAGUUUUUCUCAGUUUUUAGUAUUCUUAUUGAUUUCCAUUUGUAAUAUUUCUUGUUUUUCAAUGCAUUGUUUGCAUGUAGAAACUUGUUUAUUUUUGAAUGUUAAUGCUAAUACAAUGAUAAUGUUUGUCUUGAAGUAAUCCAUUCGUUUCACUCAUGUUUAUUUGUUUUUAUGCAUUAUGAUACCAAUUACUUUUGCCAAACUCUUGCUUAUGCAAAGAUUGGAAGGAGGAUGAUGAUCUGAAAACGCAAAAUUUCUGGUUGUAUGCUUUUGAAUAAGACCCUGCUGAUGAUGUACAGGCAUUGUUUCAAAUUCCCAAACACCGGAGAUAUAAGGAAGAUAAUCCCUUGUUAACCCCUUUUGAGCCUUGAAGUAGGAGUUUCUUUUCUAAACGAAAAAUCCUAAUUUUUAACCUGGGGCAGGGUAGUGUUCAGUUGAUUGGACCGAGUGUUCAUAUUUCAAAAAGGAUUGUGCAUCCAAAGGUCAAGCAUGUCAUAUCCACAUCAAAGGAUGGAUCAUGGGAAACCACAAUGGUUAUUCCCCGCGCAUCAAAAGGCAUGGAAAUGUGAAACCACAAUGGUUAUCCUCCAUACGCCAAGUAGCGAGGCAGUCACAACCCUCUCAACAAGUCAAGACAAAGUCAAUGUCACACGAUUUGUUCAAAUCAAAAGAAUAAAAGGGAAAGGAAAAAGAAAGAAGAAGAAAAAAAAAGCUCGCUAAGUCAGAAACUUGAAAAUAAAUGACUUAGGCAAAAGUUAGAGCAUCCCGCUGGACGACCAAUUCAAAAGAAUCAGUCCAGGCAAAAGUUAGGGAAAUAAAAAAAAAAGAGAAAAGAGUGAAAAGUGAAAAGAAAGGACUACAAAGCAAAAGUCCUCAAAAAUGAACAAAUUUGUGUGAAUACAAAAAUGAAGACAAAGAGGUGACUGCUACUCCCAAGAAAGCUUCAUUAGGUCCUUAUUGGCACAAAAUCCUUUUGAGAGAUGAAUACUCAUGUUGAGUUAACUGAACAUAGGACUGGAGAACAUCACGAAGAUGGGGUGGGCUAAAUAAACUUUGAGCCUAAUAAUCUUUUUUUCUGAAAACCGUGAACCAGGCCACGUUACAACCCUCAAAAGUCCUAAUUGAAGCAGGGUUUAUUUCGAGAGCAUACUUAAACAGGAAAGCGUUCCUGACUCCUAUCAGUUAUGCUGAAAACUUGUGUUGGUAUCAUAUGCAUACAAAAAUCAAUGUCAUUCCUUAACCAGUGAUUCAUUCACAAGGUUUUGUGACAUCUUUUCAAUAAAACUUCAAGACUUACAUAAUUGUUGCAUUUUCAUUAUCAUUCUCAGAAUAAACAUUUUUCUGCUUGUAAACAUUUGUUUGACAUCCAGGAAGUUUACAUCUGAUCAUCAGUAGAAAACUAAAACAUUGCCAGGGGCAUGUUGUUUUCCCAGUAUAAUGCUUUUGCAAGUUUGAUUACCAUCAUGGGGCAAAGCUCGAAGACUUUGUCGAGUAAAAGAAUGUGCCAAGUUUAGUCAAUCUGGGGCAGCUACGUCGAGAUUCGACAAAUCUCUCCAAGAAUCUGUUGAUCUGGGGCAGAUUAUUCCAAGUCUUCAUGAUGCCAAGGAUCUCUAUGAACCUUUUUGAGGUAGUUUCCUUUCAUAGACCACGUAGUCUGGGGCAAGUUGUGAAUCAGAAGUUACCUUGAUCACCUCAUUAUCUUGAAGUACAAAGGUUGUUGCCAUGAUCAAUCCAGAGUAUGUCACUUUCUACCAAGAAGUUUUGAGACAACGGUUGACUGUUGGGUUUUCUUUCUCACCUUGUGUUGAGUUUUGAACUAAAAUCCCCCGCAUGUUAACUUGUUUGCUUUGAUGUUAACUUCUUAUUUCCUCUGCAAGUUCGGAAUGGAGAUUUUCUCCAAAGAAAUUUUCUCUGAUUCCCCCUAAUAGAGCUUGAUGUGUUGUCCAACCUUUUUGAUAAGAAGAAGAUUAUCUGUAAAUUCCUCGCAGAAAUUGAUAAUCCCCACUGAGUUUGUUCUUCGUGGAAGAAUUUUUCUUCAGUGUUCCUCCUCAGCUCAUUUGUCAGGACGGAAUUAAUCCCCAGUUGAGUUUAUUCCUCAAGGUGCAAAGCUUUGUUUGACCGCUUCUAUCCAGUUUGUUCUUGGAGUUGAACUUUGGUCUCUUGCAAUACUAUUUUGAACCUCUCUAGGCUGGGAAGCCUAGAUUGAGGAGGCAUUUAUUUUGCAUCUCUUGAGGAUUCUGCUUUCCUCAACAAUGGAAAAUUCAUUUGUGAUUGAUGUUCUUAUCAGAUAUUGAAAGGCUUAUUUCCCGGCAGUGUUGUCAUUGCACUCCGUUGGAAUUUGUACUUGAAAGCAAGGGGCAGGUUCUGUCCUUAGCAUGUUUUGUUGACAACAAAUGCAAGCCUCUUUAUUUGAGCAAGUUUGUAUGUCUCCACAUAUUAAUCUUAUCUUCCAAUCAAGUGAUAAUCUCUCAUACUUUAUGAACUUCUUGAUUCCAAGUGGAAGAAGCUCAGCAAAUGGUAAGUCUCUUCAGUGUAAGUGACAGUUUGCAUCCAAAUGGAAGAAGCUCAGCAAAUGGUAAGUCCCUUCAUCAGAGGUGACAGUUUGCAUCCAAUUCCUUUUCUCAAGCCAUGUCCUUGAUUAAAGAAGAAGUUGAUCCCUAUUCUUAGCGGCAGCUUAUUAUUCUCAGUAGUUUAUCGUCAACUAUUGAGGCGGUAAUUCAAUUUCCUUCUACCUUCAACUAUUGAGUUGGUAGCUUAUCGUCAAUCAUUGAGGCGGUAAUUCGAUCUUCUUCUACCUUCAACCAUUGAGUUGGUAGCUUAUCGUCAACCAUUGAGGCGGUAAUUCAAUUUUCUUCUACCUUCAACUAUUGAGUUGGUAGUUUAUCGUCAACUAUUCAGGCGGUAAUUCGAUCUUCUUCUACCUUCAACCAUUGAGUUGGUAGCUUAUCGUCAACUAUUCAGGCGGUAAUUCAAUUUCCUUCUACCUUCAACUAUUGAGUUGGUAGCUUAUCGUCAACCAUUGAGGCGGUAAUUCGAUCUUCUUCUACCUUCAACCAUUGAGUUGGUAGCUUAUCGUCAACUAUUGAGACGGUGAUUCGAUUUUCUUCUACCUUCAACUAUUGAGUAAGAGGAUGGUCCACAAAUCAAAAUCUUAUCGUCAGUGGUACGGCGGUACAUCUCUUCAUAUCAUCAAUGGUACGAUGGUGUGUUUUCUGUUAACAGAAGAUUGGCAUUCUGAUUCAGGAUGCAUAUUUUCUCAUCCCCAAUGAAAGAGGAUGAUCCCCUUUUCUCAUCCCCACUGAAAGAGGAUGCUAUAACCUCUCUGACGCGAAGUGUUUUCCCCAGAGAAGUUUCUUUUCCCACUAAAGUUCCGUCUCUCCAACAAAGUCUUGCCUUCCCCAGUGGAGUUUCUAAGACGUUUGUUUCCCCAGCGGAGUUAUAGCAAGACAUUUGUUUUCCCCAGCAGAUCACCUGUUACUGCCUAGUGUUGUCAUGCUUUAUUAUUAUCACAUGCAUUCAUUAACAUUGCAUUGCAUCUUAGGAUCAAAAAUUGUGUUUUAUAUAUUUAAGUCUCUUCGAUAUUAUCAAAACGAAGAUUUCCAAUCAUCGUAUUUCCAAAUCGAAGAAACUUAAAUAGGGGCAUCUGUCAUACCCCAAUUUUUGACCCUAAGAUCCUAUAUCAUUCAUAUCUCAAUCACUAAUCAAGAGCUUCACUUGGAAGUUUUGUUUAUGGUGUUGCACUCGCCUCAUCAAUGAGAGGGACCAUCAAGCACCAAUGAUUGUUUAUCUUGUAUGCAUAUUAUACUAACCCAAAUACCAAAAAUAUUGCUUUGUUUCUUUGUAGGCUUUUGUUUUGUAGGUACCAAGCCAAGACAUGCAAUAAACAAGGCAUUUUUCAAGUUUUUGACUGAUGAAAUCGAUUUCCCUACUGGGUAAAUCGAUUUCCCUGCAGCAAUCUUCAACAAAAUCACAUUCUGGACAACAUGAAAUCGAUUUUCCUCCUGGGUAAAUCGAUUUCCCUAGUGUAUUUUGCGCCAAUUUCUCUUCUGGAACAGAGUGAAAUCGAUUUCACUCCUGGGGAAAUCGAUUUCCUUAAGGCAAAAUUCAAAAAAAUAGAGAGGGAAGCUUGAUUUGAUUUUGGCACCUAUUUUCUUUGACCAUUUUUGUCAUUCUACCAAUUUUCCACCUCAUCAAAAUAAUUCUCUUCAUUAAACCCACUUAAACCUCAUUUUACCAUUUCUUACCAUUUAAAUACCACUUUAAUCACCAAUUAAACACAAGCUAAUUACCAAAUGCAAAAAGACCAAACUACCACUACUCUUGCUCUCAUCCUAUAAAUAGAGCCCUCUACUCUCUCACUUCUCAAGCUUUGAGAGCCAAAAAAUCCCUUGCAAUUUCUCUCCUCAUCCCUACCAAAUUCACCAAAGCUUUUUUUCUUUCAUAAAGUUUGUGAGUCACAUCUUGAACCUCACAAACUUUGAGCUAAGCCACCAUCCAUUUCACUCUUUUUUCUUCAAUUGUUGAGAGAUCAAGAUUUGUAUUGGUGAUUCUUGAAGUAGAUCCAAGUUUUGUUCAAGAUUUGGUAAAUUUUCUUCAUCCUUUUAGUAUAUCAUGAUGUAGAUCCUUGUUGCUUGUGUGUGAUGCAUCUUUGAUGCUAUAUUGGUGCUAUUUGAUGGUGAUUUGAUGGAAAAUUCGUGCUCCAAUUGAUGUUUGAUCAUAAGGUGUUUGUAUAUUUGUUCAAGUCAAGUCUUAUGCUUCUAAAUGCUGUUUUUGCUGGAUUUUACACUGAGGAAAUCGAUUUCCUUAAGGCUGAAAUCGAUUUCCUGCUGAACGUAACCUGUUUU